GAAAGUCGGACAAAGAGAUGGCGAGAUCGCCGAUUCAGCACCUGGCGCCAUACUUGGCUAGUCGAAUCCAACAGAACCAGAGGCUUCUAACUUCUGCUUCUUUGCCUUCUGCUUUCUACGAAGCCUCUACAUCUUCUUCGCCGUCUCCGUCUCCAUCUCCUUCCCCCAAGGCCAUCCACCUGACCGAAAAUUGCGUCCAAGUACUCACAAAAUUCCCUCCCCUUUUUGCUACAUCAGGAAAAGGCAAUUUGGUUCUUUUUUCCUAUUUGAUCUUCCCCCACAUUUUCUUCAUUUUUACAGUGCAUCUUCCACCUUGGGAUCAUUAUGGGACUUCUUUGUUUAAUGGAUAUUGUGUAGUUCGUCGAUAUCAACAGAGGAAAAAGACAUUGAUCAAGUACUGACAAUUUUCAGUUUUUCGAGAAGAAUAGAGAAUGAAAGAGCUGCAAGCUGCUGAAGGGUCGACUGAUGAAAAGAUGCUUCAAUUGAGUGUGGAGACUGGGGGAUGUUUUGGGUUCCAAUAUGUUUUUUAUCUGGAUGACAAAAGCAGCUCAGAUGAUCGGCAUGCGCGGUUUUUGAGAGGGAAGGAGUUAAAUUGGUGGUCGAUAAUAUUUUAUACAACUUUGUAAAAAGUGCAACCGUUGGUGGUCGAUAAUAUUACAAUGUUGGGGAGCUGAUCCGUUCAGCUUUUGUGGUAAGUCAAUUUGGACGUACACAUGUACACAUUACAUGUAUAACUUGUCAUCCCGACAUGGCAACUCCUUGUUUUGGAGAGAAGUGUGAAGUACCCUUUGUCCGUAGUUGAUCAUAUCCUUGUUCA